rnacentral:rRNA from 1 species
GUGUCUGGCAAGGUUAAGCAAACGCGAAGCCGUAGCGAAAGCGAGUCUGAAUAGGGCGCUUAGUCAGAUGCUGCAGACCCGAAACGAAGUGAUCUAUCCAUGAGCAAGUUGAAGCUAGUGUAAGAACUAGUGGAGGACUGAACCCAUAGGCGUUGAAAAGCCCCGGGAUGACUUGUGGAUAGGGGUGAAAGGCCAAUCAAACUUCGUGAUAGCUGGUUCUCUCCGAAAUAUAUUUAGGUAUAGCGUUGUGUCGUAAUAUAAGGGGGUAGAGCACUGAAUGGGCUAGGGCAUACACCAAUGUACCAAACCCUAUCAAACUCCGAAUACCUUAUAUGUAAUCACAGCAGUCAGGCGGCGAGUGAUAAAAUCCGUCGUCAAGAGGGAAACAACCCAGACUACCAGCUAAGGUCCCUAAAUCUUACUUAAGUGGAAAACGAUGUGAAGUUACUUAAACAACCAGGAGGUUGGCUUAGAAGCAGCCAUCCUUUAAAGAAAGCGUAAUAGCUCACUGGUCUAGUGAUUUUGCGCGGAAAAUAUAACGGGGCUAAAGUAAGUACCGAAGCUGUAGACUUGCGCACAACUUAGAUUAUUUAAGUUUAGAAUAUGAGAAACUAAGUUAUAUGUUUAGUUAUAUUUUUACUGAUUUUUAUAGAGUAAAGAUAGAAAUAAAACUUAGUAAAAUCAGUAAAAAUAUUCUUAGACUAAAGUUAAGUAGUUUAAGUUGUGUGCAAGUGGUAGGAGAGCGUUCUAUUUGCGUCGAAGGUAUACCGGUAAGGAGUGCUGGAGCGAAUAGAAGUGAGCAUGCAGGCAUGAGUAGCGAUAAUUAAUGUGAGAAUCAUUAACGCCGUAAACCCAAGGUUUCCUACGCGAUGCUCGUCAUCGUAGGGUUAGUCGGGUCCUAAGUCGAGUCCGAAAGGGGUAGACGAUGGCAAAUUGGUUAAUAUUCCAAUACCAACAUUAGUGUGCGAUGGAAGGACGCUUAGGGCUAAGGGGGCUAGCGGAUGGAAGUGCUAGUCUAAGGUCGUAGGAGGUUAUACAGGCAAAUCCGUAUAACAAUACUCCGAGAACUGAAAGGCUUUUUGAAGUCUUCGGAUGGAUAGAAGAACCCCUGAUGCCAUCGAGCCAAGAAAAGUUUCUAAGUUUAGCUAAUGUUGCCCGUACCGUAAACCGACACAGGUGGGUGGGAUGAGUAUUCUAAGGCGCGUGGAAGAACUCUCUUUAAGGAACUCUGCAAAAUAGCACCGUAUCUUCGGUAUAAGGUGUGGUUCGCUUCGUAUUAGGAUUUACUCCGAAAGCGAAGAAACUUACAACAAAGAGUCCCUCCCGACUGUUUACCAAAAACACAGCACUCUGCUAACUCGUAAGAGGAUGUAUAGGGUGUGACGCCUGCCCGGUGCUCGAAGGUUAAUUGAUGGGGUUAGCAUUAGCGAAGCUCUUGAUCGAAGCCCGAGUAAACGGCGGCCGUAACUAUAACGGUCCUAAGGUAGCGAAAUUCCUUGUCGGUUAAAUACCGACCUGCAUGAAUGGCGUAACGAGAUGGGAGCUGUCUCAAAGAGGGAUCCAGUGAAAUUGUAGUGGAGGUGAAAAUUCCUCCUACCCGCGGCAAGACGGAAAGACCCCGUGGACCUUUACUACAGCUUGACACUGCUAUUUGGAUAAGAAUGUGCAGGAUAGGUGGGAGGCUUUGAGUAUAUGACGCCAGUUGUAUAUGAGCCAUUGUUGAGAUACCACUCUUUCUUAUUUGGGUAGCUAACCAGCUUGAGUUAUCCUCAAGUGGGACAAUGUCUGGUGGGUAGUUUGACUGGGGCGGUCGCCUCCCAAAUAAUAACGGAGGCUUACAAAGGUUGGCUCAGAACGGUUGGAAAUCGUUCGUAGAGUAUAAAGGUAUAAGCCAGCUUAACUGCAAGACAUACAAGUCAAGCAGAGACGAAAGUCGGUCUUAGUGAUCCGGUGGUUCUGUGUGGAAGGGCCAUCGCUCAAAGGAUAAAAGGUACCCCGGGGAUAACAGGCUGAUCUCCCCCAAGAGCUCACAUCGACGGGGAGGUUUGGCACCUCGAUGUCGGCUCAUCGCAUCCUGGGGCUGGAGCAGGUCCCAAGGGUAUGGCUGUUCGCCAUUUAAAGCGGUACGCGAGCUGGGUUCAGAACGUCGUGAGACAGUUCGGUCCCUAUCUGCCGUGGGCGUAAGAAGAUUGAAGAGAUUUGACCCUAGUACGAGAGGACCGGGUUGAACAAACCACUGGUGUAGCUGUUGUUCUGCCAAGAGCAUCGCAGCGUAGCUAAGUUUGGAAAGGAUAAACGCUGAAAGCAUCUAAGCGUGAAGCCAACUCUAAGAUGAAUCUUCUCUAAGCUCUCUAGAAGACUACUAGUUUGAUAGGCUGGGUGUGUAAUGGAUGAAAGUCCUUUAGCUGACCAGUACUAAUAGAGCGUUUGGCUUAUCUUUAAUAAAGCAU